rnacentral:rRNA from 1 species
AGAUUGAACGCCAGCGGGAUGCUUUACACAUGCAAGUCGAACGGCAGCGCGGACUUCGGUCUGGCGGCGAGUGGCGAACGGGUGAGUAAUAUAUCGGAACGUGCCCAGUCGUGGGGGAUAACGCAGCGAAAGCUGUGCUAAUACCGCAUACGAUCUAUGGAUGAAAGCGGGGAUCGCAGACCUCGCGCGAUU